GUAGGGUGCGAGCGUUAAUCGGAAUUACUGGGCGUAAAGCGUGCGCAGGCGGUUAUGUAAGACAGAUGUGAAAUCCCCGGGCUCAACCUGGGAACUGCAUUUGUGACUGCAUGGCUAGAGUACGGUAGAGGGGGAUGGAAUUCCGCGUGUAGCAGUGAAAUGCGUAGAUAUGCGGAGGAACACCGAUGGCGAAGGCAAUCCCCUGGACCUGUACUGACGCUCAUGCACGAAAGCGUGGGGAGCAAACAGGAUUAGAUACCCUGGUAGUCCACGCCCUAAACGAUGUCAACUGGUUGUUGGGAAUUAGUUUUCUCAGUAACGAAGCUAACGCGUGAAGUUGACCGCCCUGGGAGUACGGCCGCAAGGUUG
rnacentral:rRNA from 1 species